rnacentral:rRNA from 1 species
UUUCCCGUAGGGUAACCUGCGGAGGGAUCAUUACCGAGUUUACAACUCCCAAACCCCUGUGAACAUACCACUUGUUGCCUCGGCGGAUCAGCCCGCUCCCGGUAAAACGGGACGGCCCGCCAGAGGACCCCUAAACUCUGUUUCUAUAUGUAACUUCUGAGUAAAACCAUAAAUAAAUCAAAACUUUCAACAACGGAUCUCUUGGUUCUGGCAUCGAUGAAGAACGCAGCAAAAUGCGAUAAGUAAUGUGAAUUGCAGAAUUCAGUGAAUCAUCGAAUCUUUGAACGCACAUUGCGCCCGCCAGUAUUCUGGCGGGCAUGCCUGUUCGAGCGUCAUUUCAACCCUCAAGCACAGCUUGGUGUUGGGACUCGCGUUAAUUCGCGUUCCUCAAAUUGAUUGGCGGUCACGUCGAGCUUCCAUAGCGUAGUAGUAAAACCCUCGUUACUGGUAAUCGUCGCGGCCACGCCGUUAAACCCCAACUUCUGAAUGUUGACCUCGGAUCAGGUAGGAAUACCCGCUGAACUUAAGCAUAU